GUAACUGGUUUUAUGACAGCAAAUCAACUGAGUCAGCUCAUGGGAAGUUGUAGGGCACAUUGAUAGGCAUUUCGAUCAGGACCUGAAGAACAAGUUCUAGACAAAGGUGACUACAGCUCUGAAGAUGGAUAUGCUGUCUUGUGAGUCGGAGGGCUUCCCUCUCCAUAGUUGUAUUAAGAAUGAGGUUAAAAGCUCUCAGACAGACUCCUCAAAGCCACAUCCACAGCACAGCGAACACAACAGUGCUUGAAACAGGGACUCUGCCUCUUCUGGGAACUUUGAAAACAACUGCUGAGGGUAUUUCUACAGUUCUUGACAGUGAGCAAACAUCCCAAACAUUCUGUGGUUAUGGAUACUACAUUCCUAAUGUUCCCAGCAUUUUUGCUAUAUUCAUAGCAGAGAAAGGUUUUGUGUACAGACAGCAGCCUGAGGAAAUCUGUGGGAAUCAGGAGUACCCAGAGCCUUUUAAAAUCAAGUUUUCAAUGUCUUUCACUGGUUGUCACUGACAUUUAGCAGCUGGAAAUCUUGACUGGCAACUCUUUGAGUGGUCACAGGUUAUAGAAAACUAAUUGAGAACUUUAUCUACAUAGAACCUUCCAUUUAUCACUAUAACACAAUAUUUCCUCUUUUUAUUUCUUUAAGGAUAGGUUUUAUCUGCCUCUUGAUGUUAACUAGAGUUGUAGUGGUAUGCAAGUUGCUCUUCUGGUAUUAAGACAAAUGAGAGAACCAGAAUUUGUUUUUAACAUUGUUCUCUUUGCAGAAACAUUAUAUAACGAGUGUUGAAAUUAAAGUAAUAAAAUUCUCUCAAAUACUUUCA
rnacentral:lncRNA from 1 species